rnacentral:rRNA from 1 species
GACGAACGCUGGCGGCGUGCUUAACACAUGCAAGUCGAACGGUAAGGCUCCAGCUUGCUGGGGUACACGAGUGGCGAACGGGUGAGUAACACGUGGGUGACCUGCCCUGCACUUCGGGAUAAGCCUGGGAAACUGGGUCUAAUACCGGAUAGGACCGCACCGUGAGGGUGUGGUGGAAAGUUUUUUCGGUGUGGGAUGGGCCCGCGGCCUAUCAGCUUGUUGGUGGGGUAAUGGCCUACCAAGGCGGCGACGGGUAGCCGGCCUGAGAGGGUGGACGGCCACAUUGGGACUGAGACACGGCCCAGACUCCUACGGGAGGCAGCAGUGGGGAAUAUUGCACAAUGGGCGGAAGCCUGAUGCAGCGACGCCGCGUGGGGGAUGACGGCCUUCGGGUUGUAAACUCCUUUCACCAUCGACGAAGGGCUUCUGACGGUAGAUGGAGAAGAAGCACCGGCUAACUACGUG